rnacentral:rRNA from 1 species
AUUGAACGCUGGCGGCAUGCCUUACACAUGCCAGUCGAACGGUAACAGGUCUUCGGAUGCUGACGAGUGGCGAACGGGUGAGUAAUACAUCGGAACGUGCCCGAUCGUGGGGGAUAACGCAGCGAAAGCUGUGCUAAUACCGCAUACGAUCUACGGAUGAAAGCGGGGGAUCGCAAGACCUCGCGCGGACGGAGCGGCCGAUGGCAGAUUAGGUAGUUGGUGGGAUAAAAGCUUACCAAGCCGACGAUCUGUAGCUGGUCUGAGAGGACGACCAGCCACACUGGGACUGAGACACGGCCCAGACUCCUACGGGAGGCAGCAGUGGGGAAUUUUGGACAAUGGGCGCAAGCCUGAUCCAGCCAUGCCGCGUGCAGGAUGAAGGCCUUCGGGUUGUAAACUGCUUUUGUACGGAACGAAAAAGCUCUCUCUAAUACAGGGGGUGAAUGACGGUACCGUAAGAAUAAGCACCGGCUAACUACGUG